rnacentral:Y_RNA from 1 species
AGCUUGGUCUGAUGGCAGUAGGUUGUCAGAACUUAUUAAUAUUAGUGUCACUAAAGUUGCCAUACAACACCCUACUGCUAAAUUUGACUGGCUUUAA